GCAUUGCUGACGAGUCCCGAACAGGACGAAACAGCUGGGUCCAGUGC
rnacentral:hammerhead_ribozyme from 1 species